CAGAGGGUGCGAGCGUUGUCCGGAAUCACUGGGCGUAAAGGGCGCGUAGGUGGCGCUCCAAGUCUGUGGUGAAAGCUCGACGCUCAACGUCGAGUCGGCCACGGAGACUGGAGGGCUCGAGCACUGUAGGGGCAGAUGGAAUUCCGGGUGUAGCGGUGGAAUGCGUAGAGAUCCGGAAGAACACCGGUGGCGAAGGCGGUCUGCUGGGCAGUUGCUGACACUGAGGCGCGACAGCGUGGGGAGCAAACAGGAUUAGAUACCCUGGUAGUCCACGCCGUAAACGAUGGGCACUAGAUGCUUGGGGGAGCAACCCCCUGAGUGUCGUCGCUAACGCAGUAAGUGCCCCGCCUGGGGAGUACGGCCGCAAGGCUG
rnacentral:rRNA from 1 species